rnacentral:lncRNA from 1 species
GUGUGACCGAAGGAGCUAGCACUGUCUCCAAUUUACACUCACUGGCUUUCAUGACUCCAGGCUCCUGAAUCAAGGACCAGCAUGUAUCUGUGGUCAGUGUCCCAGGGCUUGGUCACUUCUUCCCUCAGGCACCUUACCCAAGUGGAAGAGGAAGUUCUCAGCAUAAGCUCUGGCUUGAUCUCAGUUUCCCCAAACUGUUUCCUGGAUCUCACCAUAGUGCCUGCAUCUUCUGUCCUAAGCUGAUUGAUUGGGCAAGAUAGUCUCAGAACUUGAUGCCAACUCUAGCAGAUUUCUGGCCUUGGGCACCAGAUUGUGUUUAGAAGACUCUAGGUCCUUGGUUUGGAUCUUGGCUCGGCCUCUCAGAAACUCUAUGGCCUUGGGCAACUCACUUCACUUCUCUGAGCCCACAUUUUCUCAGAUAAAUAAUAGAAAAAUCUUAGAUUAUUGGGAGGUAUUAUGGAGGUGUGUAUUUGAGGCAUGUGCACAGGCUUGGAGGACCAAGUAAGUACUUAGUAAAUAUCUGUCUCUCCCUUUCCCCUACCCUCUCUUGCCAUUUGCCCUGGGCAGGAAGCUAGGGCCAGGCAUCCCAGCAUGACUGUGGAAACCUAGUCACGAGCACUGCCCCAGUUUCUGAAUCCAAAGACUGAUGAAAUAGUUGGGUAAAACAAUGAGAAGAUUCAACAAAUCACCCUUCUGGAAUGUCCCAAGCAGAUCUGAGGUGGCAGUUGUUGAAUGUGUUAUUGCACUUACUUUCUUCUGUUGCUAUGACAACACUAUUCUGCAAAAUCAACUUACAGAAGAAUUAUUUUGGCUCACAGUUCUAGGAUAAGGUCCACCAUGAUGGGGAGGCCAUGGUGGCAGGAGAGGAGGCACAUGGUCACAUGUCAUCUGUAGUCAGGAAACAAAGAGCUGAACACUGGACUUCAGCUUGUUUUCUCCUUUUUAUUUAGUCUGGGAUCCCAAGGUGUGGAAUGGUGGCACCCGUGUGUAGGGUGGGUCUUUCUACGUCACUUAACCCACUCUAGAAAGUCUUGUACAGUUCUGCCCAGAAGUCUUGUCUGCUAAGUGAUUUUCGAUCUCACCAAGCUGGCAAUUAGCAUCACGGUUGUAGUUUUCCUUUAGGGAGGAAGCACAAUGGUCCAAAGAGUGGGUUUAUUGACACCGACUAGGUGUCAGGAUUUGCCUUCACCAACUUCUUGCUCAUCAGACUCUAAGAGAUGCACCUCACUGAUGCCAUUGCAUGAAGGAGCCUCCAUACUGGGCAACGUCCCAAGGCUGUCUGGCAGAGGAGAUGCUUCAACACAAGUGUGUCUGUCACCCAAAGCAGAGCUUCUGUCACCUUCCUCUCUCAGGUCAUCAGAUGUGAUGCUUAAUCUUGAUUGUGAACCCUGCAGCAUUAAGAAAGGCAUUGGUGGUUGGUAAAGUUCUUUCUGGCCUUGUCUGUGAUGACUUUCUGGAAACAAUUAGACUGUGAAGGCUCUGACCUAAUCGAUGGAUUGGUUAACCCCUUAGUGAAUGAUACUGGAUGGCAUUAUGGGAGGAGGGGGAGAGGUGGGAGGAAGUAGGCGCCCGGGAAGUGUCUUUGCAGGCUGGACCGUGUCCUGGAUCCUUUCUGAAUCCCACUUUGCCUCCUUUCACCAUGAUGUGGUCUGUUCUGCCCUCCUCACUGUGAUAGAUGAAACCAUGUGUGAGUGUUUUCAUCAGCUCGACAGGAUCUAGAAGCACCCGGGAGACCAACCACCGGCUUUGUUAAGCCGAGGUUCAUUGAGAUGGGAAGACACAUUUUAAAUGUGUGCAGCACCGUUCCGUGCUUCCAGAGUGCAGACUCUGUGUACCUCCUGCCUCUUGUUCCUGCCACCAUGACCUCUCUACCACAGUAGACUCAUCUUUGAGCUGUGAGCCCAAAUGAGCCUUUCCUGAAGCUGUUCUUGUUGGGGGUUUGGUGGCAGCAGCGAGAAAACCAGGUCACACCCUGAAACCAUGAACAAAACAGAUCUUUCCUUUUUAACAUUGCUCUCUCAGCUGAUCCUCAGUUGUGAAGAAUAUGCCGACUCUCCCAGGCUUCUUUGCACGGCCUUGAUUCACACACUCUCUGCCGCACAGGAGCUUAUCUCGUGAGGCUGCCUCGCUUUCCUCUCUUCCCAAGACACUCGCCUCCCACCUACUUCUCAGGGAUGCUUUGAAGACAGAGAAGAAUAUGUUUUCCCAAAGCUCCUCAGAGGGUCCUCCUGGCCUCGCCCAGUACAGCAUGUUAUUAGCAAAGGCACAAUGACAGCAGCCUAAUGACUGCUCUCUACUAUCCUGUCGCCGAGGCAAGUCGCAGGCAUCAUUAGUCCAGUUUUAGUGAGGGGCCAGUUGAGGCUCGAGAGGAUGAUUUGUGACCUGCCUCCACGGAUGCCGUGAGUCAGUAGCAGCCCCAUGUAACCUUUGUCUCCCUUGUUUGCCUUCUUUUGAGCCCAGGGUGAGAAAGAAGCGUCAGGGCUCUAGGAACUUUUGGUCCUUUCAUGGGGCCAGGUUUCGGUGCUUGACCUUGGAGAUGCCCAGUCCAGUCGCAUCCUCUUCCUCACUAGGCACUGACCCCAGAUGGGUGGCUGGGACAAUUGUUCCCAACUUUGUACAGCUAUAAUUUGUGGCUACGAUCAUGGUUAAGAUGAUGGUAGUGGUGCUAUAGUGUGUGUGUGUGUGUGUGUGUGUGUGUGUGUGUGUGUGCAUGCAUGCACAUGUGCAUAUCUUGGUUCCUUGGGGAUGAAGGAGAUGCUGAUGAGGAAUGAAGGUAAGAGCAUCACAUUUGCUCCAAGUUUCUAUGUGCCACCUGACCCCAUUCUACAUAUAAAGAACUUGAGGCCUAGGUGGGGUCAACAGCUUUCUUCUGAGAUUCUGAGCUGGUAAGGUGUCAAUGGGGCUUAGCUAGGUUCUCCUGAAAUUUAAGAUCUCUCGUGAUUGAAAUUCUCCCAAAAGUGUCACUCAAUCCCAGUGGAAUUAGUCUGGGAGAGCUGGGGUCCAUAGUAUGUCAGCUUUAUAGUCAUAUGAUAUGCACAAGGCCCUGCCUACAUGAACAUCAUCCUAACGAUUUCCCUGGUUCUGCCGUGUCCCCGUGUGGAAACACACACUCAUCUGUGAACAAGUAACCCUGCAUUCUUUAUGCAAAAGUGCCUGAUGUGGCUUAUCCUGAUCCCACCAACUUGAGGCCAUGAGACACCCUAGAUGCCUCUACAAUGUGGAGAGCCUUAGGCUAGUUGUUGCCCCUUAAUGUCCUGAUGCACAAAACCAGGAGUCUGGGUGGCAGACACCGGCAUUGUUAGCUGUCCCACUGGAAGAGGGAAGGUCAGUAGGACUUCCCAAGGACCUCUGUGAAAAGAGAAACUUCAUAAGAGACUUAGCAUGGGUUCACCCGGGAUGACCUGGUGCCUCAUGGAGCUGUAAGAUGACUGAGAGAAGUCAGCCAGUGACCCAUGGAAAAGGAGACUUAAGCAUCCCAUGAGUGCUAUGGCUGGUGGAGGGCCUCUUGCUCCAGCUCUUAGUCAUAGGAAGUUGCUGAGAAAUCGCUGACAUAUAAUCAUGUCUCUUUGAUGGUCAUAACUGUGUGGGGGUGGCCAGCUUUUCCUUUUAAACAAAUACACUUGGACGACUUUCAAGAUUGUCACCAGGGCAGGUAAGGACUCACUCCAGCAUGCUUCUGGGGCAUAAGCUUUUGGUGCCCCUGGGCACAUUCACGGUCAGAUCUGGACUUUGUGGCACUAGGAGUAGGUGGAUGGGCCCAUGCAAGCUUAGAUUCCUGGCCUCCUACCUCAGGCUAAGAACAGGGGCAACUCAGCUCUGUGACAGUAAGGCCAAGGAAGUAGGAGGAAACCCAAGGUCCUGGAAGAGGUACAAGUCACCCUGCUCACAAGCGGACCAUAGCAGCCCACACCAGUACCGAUCUUUCCUCUCCUUUCUUCCAGCACCUGCUUUAUCAGGUCGCCUUAAUAAACUUCCUGAAGC